rnacentral:rRNA from 1 species
AGAGUUUGAUCAUGGCUCAGAAUGAACGCUGGCGGCGUGCUUAACACAUGCAAGUCGCACGAGAACGCUUCAGCUUGCUGGAGCUAGUAAAGUGGCGCACGGGUGAGUAACGCGUGGGUAAUCUACCUCCGAAUUGGGGAUAACACUGCGAAAGCGGUGCUAAUACCGAAUUACAUCUCCGAGACCUCGGUCUCAGGGAUCAAAGGUGGCCUCUACAUGUAAGCUACUGUUUGGAGAUGAGCCCGCGUACCAUUAGCUAGUUGGUAGGGUAAUGGCCUACCAAGGCUGCGAUGGUUAGCUGGUCUGAGAGGAUGAUCAGCCACACUGGAACUGACACACGGUCCAGACUCCUACGGGAGGCAGCAGUGAGGAAUUUUGCGCAAUGGGGGAAACCCUGACGCAGCAACGCCGCGUGAGUGAUGAAGGCUUUCGGGUCGUAAAGCUCUGUCAAGUGGGAAGAAUAUGCCCUGUGAUAAUACCAUGGGGCACUGACGGUACCACUGAAGGAAGCACCGGCUAACUCCGUGCCAGCAGCCGCGGUAAUACGGGGGGUGCAAGCGUUAUUCGGAAUCAUUGGGCGUAAAGGGCGCGUAGGCGGCCCCUUAAGUCAGAUGUGAAAGCCCUCAGCUUAACUGAGGAAGUGCAUUUGAAACUAAGGGGCUUGAGUAUGGGAGAGGGAAGCGGAAUUCCUGGUGUAGCGGUGAAAUGCGUAGAUAUCAGGAGGAACACCGGUGGCGAAGGC